AAGUGAUAUCUGGCAUGGAACCCAGACCGUGCAGGAAGGCUGGUGUUUAUAGGACAUAAGUCCAGAUAAAGAGUUGGAUGUGGUACCAGGUGUUUUGGAAUCUGGUGUAGGUGGGAUAUUGUAACUUUAUCAGAUUGUUCUAUGCUUAAUGUUCGGACACAUGCUUUUGGAAUGUUCCUGUUUUAAAAAAGAAUUCAACCUUGGAGGAACAAAGAUCUGUAAUUUGAAUAUGGAGAAGUUGAAUUGGAUUUUGUUUACCUUUGAGCCAAGAAGUAAGAGCCUAUGGCCUUCAUACUUUAAAGGAGGCUGAGGAGCCAUUUCUUGGGCAAACUUGAUUUGAGGAGGUAGUUGGAUGCAUAAUGUGAGCCUGCUCAAAGCCUCUGGGAUACUGUGUGAAAGUUGGAGCGGGCAAUACUAUCUAUAUAGGCAGCAAACACCUGGUUGGAACAUGAAUGCUUGUGUUGAUAUGUGCCUCUGUUGAAAGAGGCAGAGGGCAAGUCUUCACUGUUCUAAAAAUUUGAUUUGGCAAAAUACAUUCAUUCGUUUAACAAGUAUUUGGCUUUACUACCUGCCAAGUUCUGUGGUAGGUCCAGAGGACCCAUGCAGAAGAGGCUGGUUCUACCCUGAAGGAACUCAGUUUGGGGGACAGUGGGAGUUAGGGAACCAAAGAUGGAAGGUGUGUGCCCACAUAGUGCUUUGGUAGCUUGAGGAGAGAGGGAAUUCCUGAGUUGAGGCUUGCAGGGCCAACAGGAAUUAGCUGGGUGACAGCAAGGUCGAACGUGGAACCACAUGUACCUGAGUGCCUAAAAUAGCACCUGUCAGUCCUCCAGCUUGAUAGUUAGGAACCCUGGGCCUUUCUUGUGCUCAGGACUUCAAACUUCAUAUUCAGAGUGCAGGAGCCUGAGAAGGCUUUUAAUCCGUGGAGUGGCAUGUUCCAGACUUGUGUUUAGAAAGAUCUUCCUGGUGGCCACAUAGGUAGUGCCAGGGAGGGGUCAGGACCUCUGGCUGUGAGGUCAGCCAGGAGAGGGGAGAUGAGAAGCGGGGAGGAGCCAGCUGAGAAGAGGCGGAAAAGAUAGAGCAGAGGGGCUACCAAGCUGUGAUGGGGGAGGAGCUUGCAUUCAGGAAUGUGUGGGUCAGGAGACUAAGCAUGACCAAGAAUUUUAACCACCUCUUCUGCAGAUUUGCUGGUGUCUGUUAAACAUUGAGAAUGGUGGGGUUUGGAGGGACCCUGGGGCCACUGAAAUUGUUUUUAAGAAAGGAGAGACAUGGCAUUUGAUUGUUAAAACCUUUUCUGUCGCUUGGAUUUGGGGCAUUGCAUUUCCUACUGGGCAGGGCUGGCAUAUUGACCUGUGAGAGUAGACGUGUGUUCAUCCUUGUUGAGGCAGAUGAGAACAUGUUCAAUUCUUUAACCUCACAGUUGUUCCAGCCUUUUCUGCUUCUGGGUCAGUGAUUCGAUGAACCUAUAUCAGCCACAGUCAGGGGCCUCUUGUGUUUCUGCUCUACGUGCACCAUUGCUAAUGCUUCUGAGAAUCCUUUAAAGUGGCUGAGGUAACUUGAGUCACAGAUGAAGGAAUGUUCCCAAGGUCACACAACUGUCCUUAUGUGACAGUUAGGAUUUUUUUUUUUUUUUUAAAUUAUUUAUGUCUACAGUAUCUGGUUUUCUUAGGUGGUCUGACCCUGCUUAGCUUCCGAGAUCAGACAUCGGGCUUGUUCAGGGUGGCAUGGCCGUAGACCAUGGACCGUGGCACCACUGGUGUGCGAACCCAGGACCUUCUGUGUGUAAAGCAGACUUGCUAACCGCUACACUGUGGAACCACGUCCUGCAGUUAGAAUUUGAACUCGGGUCGAACAUUUGGCUAUAUCCAUCUACAUCUGUGUUGUGUCAGAUAUAAUGGUGACCUUGGUUGGGUGCUUCUCUGGGUAGACCAAGCCCAGGUGUCUGGUGGUGGCAGAAUACCAGGAUGGUAUGGGAGAGGUGAUCAGGAACCCAUGUGCAACUCCAGGAACAUGUUCUGAGUGACCAUUCUCAGAAACAAGGGCUUGUCCAAGCCUUACUGGGGCCUGUGGUGGUUGCAUCGUGCUGAAGUAAGCUGCGGAGCUUGGAUCAUAGGCUGGGGAGGGCAGAGUUUAGGGCAGCCCUGCUUUGAGCUGGGAAUUCAAGAAAGGUUAGUGGUUUGACUGGUGAAGUAGUGGUGGCAGGGGGAUCACAGCUCUGUGGAAGGAAAGAGGCGAGCAGAGGCACGGGGUGGGAGGGGGAAGACUGGGAACCUUUCGUGUAUGUCUGGAAGGUCGAGUUGGAACCAGAAUGCCACAUGAGAGAUUUUGGAGUUAUAUAGAAAUGGGGAACCUUAAAGUGCAGCCGUGGUGGGACCAGCUCUCGGUUUUAAGAAGUGAGCCCCUAGUGCGACUGUAGAGAUGGGACCGGAGGCAAGUUGGUUAAUGCUGGGGUCCAGUGGGGACACAGUGGACCCGAAUAAGGACAGUGGUCAGCAGGGGAGCAGAGAGAGAGAAAGAAGAUUCAAGAUGAGUUAGUUCAGCAGAUGUUAAGGACCUGAAUGUUGGUACUAUCAGGGAUCUGCCAUUUAGUAGAAGGAACAGGAGGUGACAGUGAGAAGACGAAAAUGUAAGGCAGCAUCAGCAAGCACUGGCGAGGACUCGAGAGACUAAGAAUAAAGAAGGGGCCCCUAGACUGCAGGAAGUGGGGAAGGCGUGAGUCUUCGUAGCACGCAGGCAAGAUGAGGGGCUGUUCUUGGGUGAACAGAGAAGAGUUCACCCAAGGAGGAGGGAAAGAACAGGCCAUGUCUGAGGACCUGGGAGUGGACAGGCUGGAGCCAAAGGAAGUGUCUUCUGGGGAAAAGCAGGGCAAAAGGUUGACCUGAAGGCUGAGCUGGACCUGUGGCAAGCCCCUGGCAGUUCUGUGUGGUAUAGUACCUGUGCCCCUGGCAUGAAGGGGUGAGACAUCAGGAGACCAGUUUUGAGUGUCACAGGGGUACAGUUGAAGGAGAGAGACCAGAGUGGCAGAAAGUAAUGGUGAAGAAGGGAUAGGCUUAGGAAGGAAAAAGCAUGAUUUGUUGACCCACUUGGUGGGGUAGGGGACCAGUAUGUUUUAAAAUGUCUGCCUUUUAGUAGACUCAGAAUCAUGGCAGGAGUGAUGUGGCCUUAGGCCGGAUUCGUUGAAAGAAUUGCCAUUGGCUUGAAGACUUGACCUGGGCAGGGCAAAGUAAGGGUGGCCCAUGAUGAUGUGAAAUCAGAGCCCCUUUACCUGUGUUUGACUUUUCGAGUUGGAUUUAUUUUAGUCAUAGCUUUCUUGAUAAUAGCCUAGGAGAAUGGCAAAUGGUGAUAGACCCAUUUUUUUGAUGGGCAAGAUAAGUAAGAGUGAGGCCUUGUGAUUUUUUUUUUUUUUUUUUUGACUUGUAUGGGAAGUCAGCAAUGAGAACUUUGCUCAAUAUCUAGGUUCCUGGCUGUGCUAUUUAGAUUUGAGCCACUGCAGAACGUGACUAGUUGGAGGCUUUCAGAGUAUCAAAGAAGUGAGAAAUGCUGGUCUGAACUCCUGAGGGGUCCCAGAUGGGGACUAGGGAGUGACAUUAUUGAACCUCAAGGGAUCUCAAAGUGAGAAUAGAUUCAGGUAGUGUGUUCUUCAUUGUCCUGUGUGCUGGUCAAGGAUUUCUCCCUCUUUUUCCUAGAGUAAAUUUUCCUCUUCCAUAUUAAAGAGUGUUUUCUGUGCCUUUGCCGGUGUUAUUGUGCUCUUCUUCCCAAACCCCCAUCUUUCUCUGCUUUUCCUGUGGUGGCACUCCUGGUCUCUGAAGUAAGGUGAUGGCAGUUUUGAAAAUAUAAGUGAUUAAUCUGAUCACUUUCCAGUACAUCUUUGUGUGUCCCUGCCUUUGGGUAUUCAUUUAAAGCAGUCUUCCCGUGAUCACAUAACCUGCUUUGCCUGUUGACCCUCCCUCUUCUCUCUGAUCAUUAGUAAUACUGCUCAGAUAGCAAUUUUUAUAAAUAGGAUUUUAGAGUAGUUUACAAAAUUGCACCAGCCAGAGGGCUUAAUUUAGCCUUAAUGAAUAGGGGUUCCUAUUUUCCUAUUUUUUAGGUUUGAUAGCUAAGCAUUUUCUUAGCCUUGUUCUGGGUCGAGGGUAGAAAGAUGGAUGGGAUGCAGUGGUACGAUGUCAUAAACUGAGAGUUUCUGUGUUGGCUAAACUGUUCUGUGUUCUCUUGUUGGAGUGAAGUAAAUCCGAAUGAAACUUUAGCGGUAUGUCAGUUUAAUUUAUAUUUAUAUUUUAAAAGCAAAAUUCUAGUGGGUACAAUCAGCUGAAUAUAAAAAAUCGCUUUUAUGACUGAAUGUCUUUACCCUACACAUCAUGGGGUGCAUUUAAGAGCGUUGAGGUUUGUUUUUCAGUGAUACCUUCCUGAGCUGUUUUAAAACACCGCUAUCUAAAUUUUAGACUUUGAAAUUAAUUUCAUAUCUUUGAAACUUUAAAAUUUUUGGUCCUGGAUUGACUCUAUAGAAAACCUUUCACUUUCUUUGUCACCCUUUGACAAAGAAGGGUGACUAAUUGGUAGUGUGGGCAGGAGACUGAGUGGCAUUCCCCACUUCCUUUGGAGUUGGUCAUUGGAGUAUAAUUCUGUUUCGAUUACGGGCCUUCACCAACAUCGGUUCCUUCUUUUCCUGCAGGGCCCCUGCUCUCCAGGAAGAUAAGGCUUGUAAAGCAGCCUAGCACUAGAAGGAUGAACUUAAUAUGGAACGCCUGAACCUUGCUCUGUAAGGUCAGCAUCCGCCCUGGAAACCUGAACUGUUUGGGGCUUCCUUGACUCCUGAAGGGACACAUGGAGCACAGAGCUUCGGCGUGUGAGGAGGAUGAGGGUACAGGCACUGAGCCCAAACUCUGAGCAGAGAACAAUUGUCCUAAAGACAGAAAUUGGAUUCUGGCCUCCAGACUUGGAUCUGGGAUGGAAAAAGCCGGACCUGGUGGCGCACGUAGUGAUGUCCCUGUUCCCUCGCUCUUCUGCUCGUGCAAGGCAACCUUUGGAUGACCUCACAGAUUGCAAGGACCUUGUCAGCUUACAAUUUGUUAUUUUUUAUUUUUUACGCCUACGGCACCUGGUCUUCCUAAGUGGUCUCCCUAGUUUUGUCCAUUUAUAAACUCGGUAUAUCCUUUAAAUCUCUUUACGGUUCCCCCACUCAAUCCCCCUUCCUCACAGUUAUCUGCUGAAGAACCUGCGCCCUUAGACCUGUGGAGUCUCCCACAGUCCGGAUGGAGCAGAUUGUGUCUCAGGGUGCAAUUCAGCUGUUCUCCUUAUUUUCUGUGAAUUGACAGCUGGAUCCUGAGGCUUGAUCAGCUUCAGGCUCCGUCCAUUUGACAAGGCUGGGUGGUUUGGGUCUUUCCUCCAGAGUGCUGCUUUCCCAUCGUUCCACACUUUGUUUAGAGCAGGUACCCAGAGCACCACAUCUCAGCUCAGCCCAGCUCAGCCUCUUGGUGGCUCUUUAGUCCUUGUCAAACUAGUCUCGCCAGCCUCCCAGCAAGGAAAAGCCCAGAUGUCUCCUCUUGCUCAGUUCUCUGUGAUGGGUUCACAGUGCUCUCCCCCUCUCGGACCCUCCCUACUUCCUUCACAUUGUUCUCUCUCCUGAUUCUCAACUCCCUUGUCUCUCAUUAUCUGUCCCUCAUCUCGUCCCCUCUCUUCAACUUCCUUUCUUUCUGCGUUCUGAUAGGAGAAAGGUUGUUUGAGGCUUAGGAGGGAUUCUCGUCCUGCUUGAUUGCUCACCAUCUGGGGGACUAUGGAAGCCUCAGUUUAUCCAUCUGUAAAAUGAAGUUGUUGGUCUGACGAAUUAAAUGGUUGCCUAAAAAAAUGCUGUCUUAUGAGUAUUGUGUUUUACAGAUUUUCUCUGUGUUUGAAAGCUAUUUUAGAAGAUUUUCCCGCUUCUCCGUGUAGGGCACAACUUGAGCAGUAGGGAAAUGGAGAAGUGAGUAGGGCUUAGCCGGAAUCUAGUCUUUCCCUGUGUCUGCACCAUCCGCCAGGGCGAGCUGGGUGGAUAGUGGAAGGUUCUGUGGGCUGUGGUUGUGCCCUCCCUGCUCCAUCUCAAGCUCUGGGACAGAGGCUUGCCUUACAGAAUAGGGAGGUGUAGCAGCUGCCAGUGCUGCUGCCAUGCUGGCAGGUGGCUGAAGAUGUGGGCGUGUGGAGGGCCACAGUAUUGCUUCAGUGUGACAGUAGGCCCAGGCCCGAGGCCCAAGAACUUGUCAGCUGGUUGUGGCUUUCUUGUGUUCAGGCCUCACUCCAGUUUACCCCAGAAUUUGAUGGGCAGCCGAAGCCUAUGUCUGGUGACUGUGCUUACCUCAGAGACAGAGCUGUUGCCUCCACUGUUGCUGUGAGGAUCUAGUGGGGAAGGGCUGUGCUGAUGGCUGGCCUUUACCUGUGUAUAUACCAAGCCUUUUGUCCAGGUGGGGCUUGCCCAGGAGAAGAGUUGUCAUGUAAUGUACCAGGAUUUAUCUGGCUUUCCCCAGUGUUGGUUCACUUAGCAGAUGCUUGUGGUGUUUUUGUUUGCUGUGCUAUUAUUUCAUAUAUUUAAAUUUUCAUUUAUUUUAUACCUAAAUAAUUUCGAAGCCAAGUAAAUUCAGAUUUUUUGCAUCUUGUAUGUCCUCUAAGGUUACUUAGGUCCAAGGAGUUAGACCAGUUUUUGUUUUCUUGUUUUGAAUCCAAGUUUUGUGAGGACCGUCCUUUAAGGAGGAGAAUGUAAGGAAUUCCAGACUCAGGGAGGCGUGGGGUGUGCUGGAGGAGGGCUGGCGAGGCUGCUGGGCACUGCUGGGAGCUGCCCGAGGUAUUGUCAGGUGGCCAGCAGCAGGCAUGGCAGUGAGGGGAGUGCCGAAUCUCCUGUGUGAGAGAUCUCAACCACUGCACUGAAACCUGAAUUUCUCAGAAUUUGGUGAAGUCAAGACCACAAGCAUGGCUAGCUGCUUAGGAGGUGAAGCGGAAGUUAAAACCGUGUUUUCUGGUGUUGGCUGCUCUGGUGUUCUUUGAUGUUUGUGAUCAGCUAGCAGUCGGGGUCAAUAGAGGGAGUUCCUGCUCUCACCUCAGAUAUUGGCAGGUAGCAGGCAGGUUAGCAAACCCCGAUCAAAAUGAUCCCAGGCCAGAGCUGAGUUUUCUUAUUCUUUAGCCUUUAAAAAUCUACUCUUUUAUAAAUAAAGAUGUUUCACUGAAUCCCCUGAUAACUAGCAGUGUUCGAUUUUUUUGACCUCGCUAUUUUUUUAAAAAUCGAAGUAUAAUUUACAUAUAUCAAAAUAUGUAAAUGUACAUUGCAGCUCAAUGCAUUUACUCUCAUGUCUCUGACAUCCGGGUGGAUCUAUGUAGUGAUUUGUUCUCUUUUGUUGUUGUUUAGAUUUCUCAUAUAAAUAUAACAGUUUACUGUUUUUCCUGUUUUUGACAUUUGGGUUCCAGUUUUUGACCAUUGUGAAUGAUACUGACAUGAAUGUUUUUGUCCAUGUUUUCUGGGUAUAUACCUAAGAGUGAAUUACUGGGGGUUUUGUUUAUGUGCCUCUUGUUGUGUUUUAUUUUUGAACUUUUUGUUAGGGAGAAUUUCAAGCACACCCAAAGACAGACUAGUGCAGUGGAUCCCAUGUGCCUGUUACCAGCCCCGACACCACCAACCAGUGGCCACUCUUGCCCCAUUCAUACUCUCAACCACUGCCCUACUCCAUGUUAUUUUGAAGCAUGUCUCAGACCUGUCAUUUCGUCCAUCAAUAGUUUAUCAUGCGUAUCUCUAGAAGGUGAUGUAACCACAACAUCUGCUGAGGGGCUUCAUGCUCCAUCUUUCAGGCCCUAGUGUUCUUUUCCGGGAGUUUGUAUCAUGGUCCUUAUGGUGGGAUGUGGCUCCCAGUCCUGUUACUCCUCAUCUUGGUGGAGUUGCUUAGGUCACCUGGUUUUUCCAGGAAGCUUUUGAACCAGGAACCAGCUUGGUAUAUAUAGAGUUGGAAGGGUCAUCUUAGGAACAUCAGUCGCUCUUGUGGGCACCGCUUUCUGUUGGGCUGUUGUUCGUGUGUGCAAGUUAGGCUGAUCUGGAAGAAAGAUGUGGGUGGAUUGGUUAGUAUACUGUUCUUAGGCACACGGCUGCCUGUCCCAGUUGGCUACACUGGCCUGGCAUAGAUGCUUCUUUCCCCAGUACCCCAAGAGUCUGGUGGGUGCCACCUCUAGGACAGCUGGAUCCAGCAUUCCUCCCCAGCCCUGCCCCUCUGUUGAAGGACAACAGGCAUCAAACAUAGACUCCUUGGAAAGAUUGAAAUUUUUCAGAACAGCAAGACUACAGUAUAAAGAUUAGACUCAGGAGACCCCAGCUUUGUCCUCCUUGUGCUCAGCGCUCACAUCUGUUUUCCCACUGCGCUGAGCCCGGAGUUCUAGGGCGAGCCGGGAGGACUGGUCUAGGAAAGCAACAAUAGGAACAAAGAGCCCCACGGAUACCUUAUUACUUGGAAUAAUUAGCCCAUAAAUUCUCCAUAGCAAUUUUCCUCUGAGGUAGUCAAGUUUGAGUAGAAAAACAUAGGACCAUGUUUUGAUUCAUAAGUCGUCUGGAUACUCACCCUCCCACAUUCUCAUGCCACCUAACUAUGACGUACCAUCACUCCCAGUUUGAAUUAUGACCCCGCCGCCCACCAGGCCAUUAAUCAAACAGUAUGAGAGGGACAAACGGCCAUCUCCUGCUGUUUCAACCUGUCUCUCACCUUCCUUCCUCUUCUACCUCAUGUCUUUAAUGAAGGAGUUUGACAGUAACUCAAUUUAGUGAAAGUAAGGGAAAAGUCACAUAUUUCGGUGGGUAAGGUAAGGACCAGACAGCUGAUGGCAUCAUUGUGAGGCUUAAUGUGUAUCUUCUGAGUCGUGACUGGGAAUCUGAGAGAAACCCUGGCUUCAGGCUGCUGGAUCUGCUGGAUCUGGGACAUCCGAACUUGGUGAUGGUCUGGUUGGUGUGUUUUCCUCCAGGAGGGACAGUUCCUGGGAAGGGAAAAUGAAACUAUUUUUAAUCUUAAGCAAACAUAGCCAAUGUAGUAAUUUCAGGCACCAGUGUUUAACAUUUUCUUCCAUUAUAACCCAUCACUUUUAAAAAACAAUGUUCUUUUUUUGUGUAUUUUGUCUUUGUAGUAUUUCUGGAGGAAAAUACUUUUAAAAUGCUCUCGUUUCUCCUUACAAACUUGGAGGGCUUGUGGGCAUGGCGGGCUCAGUGUUUUGAAUCAUGCAGUCUGGGGGUUUUGUGCCUGGAACGCUAGUUGAGCAAGUGCUGGGCGUGACGUAAGUAGUGGGGUUAGGGUCACGUAGGCUGUCACAGUUUAUUUACAGAGUCAUGGCUGACUUUGCCUCACAGCUGUUGAUGGGAAUCCCUGCUCACCAGGGAAGAACUGAGGUCCUGAGGGGAGAGGCAUGUUCCUUUUUCCUACUGUGCCCCAUGUUCCUUUUUCCUACCACUUAUUUUCUUUCUAUUUUAUAUUUUCGUUAACUUCAAGCUUACAGAAUAAUUUCAAGAAUAGUAAAAGGAAUUCCUAAAUACUCGAGUCACCAUUUGUUACAUUUUUCUUUGUUCACUUUGUCAUUCUUUCUUUUCUAUCUAUACUUUUCUUUCUAUCUAUAUUUUUUCUGCUGAACUAUCUUUGAGUAAUUGGCAAACAUUAUACCCCUUUAUUUCUAAAUACUUAAUUGUGUAUUUCCUAAGAACAAAAACAUUCUCUUAUGUAACCAGAGUACGUCUAUCAAUAUGAGGAAAUUUAACAUUGGUAUAUCAUCUGAUCUACAGUCCAUAUCCAGAUAGCCUCUGUUGUCGCAGUAGCAUAUUUGAUAGCCCCAUGUGAGUUGGCUUGAGAUACUGGUUUGUCCUGGUUUGUUCUCAUGAUUGGCUCUGGUUAAGGAGGUGCCUAGCAGUUUCUCUGUUGUAAAGUUGCCGUUUUUCCCAUUGCAAUUAAUAAAUAAUUUAUGAGGAGACACUUUGAGGCUUUGUAAAUAUCCUUUUCCUCUUCAGACUUUGACCCUCCACUUUCAGCAUCUAGUGAUACUUUUAAGACCUAUUCCAUCUGUAUUAGGUGUCAUCUUACUCUAAGAAGAGUUUUCUUCCCUAAUUAUUCAGUGGUUUAUUUAUGUUAGUUCUUACUGAUAACUUGUUCAAUGUGAUUAACCUAGUCAUUAUUCAUUUUGAUGCCCAGAGUGUCCCACUUGUGGCCACUGUGAGCCCUCUCAGGCUGGCUUCUGUGUUCUUUUGACAUGUCCCAAACAUUGUUUGAGCACUCCUGACUUUUUGGUGCAGUGAGAUAUUCUAGGCAACAUGCCCCAUCCUGGCAUCAGCCUUUUCUACAAGGAGCUUUCCUUUUAGUUGAAGUGGCACUUAGAAACCAAGAUACAGAUGCGUGUCACGUAUUUUUAUUUAUUGAAAGUCUUUUAAAAUAAGUAUAAUUUUGUAUUCAGUUACUUAACCAUGUUGCCAUUGAAUAAAGGGGUUUCACGAGUGUCCAGUUCUUUUGUUAUAAGUGAAACAGAUGACACAGAUAUUAGCAGAGAAAGAUGGACUUUAGCAGCAAAAUAAAAGGAGACCCUGCCUGCUCAAAGAAUUUAUUUCUACUUAAUUGGUAGAGAAAUUCUCAGAACCAUUGAGCUGAUUUCUAAAGAGGAAGGAUAUACUUGCAUGUCAAUGCCAGGGACCCUUGCUCUGGGCUGUGGACUGCACGAAGCCCGGCUCCAUGAGGCAGUGCCCAUGACUCUGUUCUCAGAGCUUUGAAGUCAGGGCACAUUAUCCCUCGAGGCAAAGGAGCAGGGUGCCCUUGUGUUUGAGGUGGUCUUUGACAUAGCUUUCCCUCGGGUGGGUGCGCGGGUCAUGGGAAGAUGUGGGUCUGACGUGUGUCUUCCGUGUGCCGUCGUUAGACUAUGUGAGCAAAUCAGAUCUGGCUGCUGCUGUCACUAUUCUGAGACUUUAGUGGCGAAGGAAAGGCAUAAUGGAGAGCUAAUCGGAGAAUGGAGGGCCGAGUUGGGCAGGUUUCCUGAAGAAGCGGCAUUUAGCGGGCUGGGAGCCAGAGGGUGAGAGGUAGUUAACAGAUGCUUGUGAGUACUUUUUUGUGAGCCAGGCAGUGAGAGUAGACCCGAUCCAUAGACAGUUAUCAUGAGCUGCCUGGAACACAAGGACUAUGGGAUGGCAGUUGUGGCUCAAGCAAGUUACCUGGUGAACCGGCUUCAUGUCCUGGCUCUGCCUCUUACUUGGU